CGGGGCAACCUGGUGGCGAGUGGCGAACGGGUGAGUAAUAUAUCGGAACGUACCCAGAAGUGGGGGAUAACGCAGCGAAAGUUGCGCUAAUACCGCAUACGAUCUACGGAUGAAAGUGGGGGACCUGUAAGGGCCUCAUGCUUUUGGAGCGGCCGAUAUCUGAUUAGCUAGUUGGUGAGGUAAAGGCUCACCAAGGCAUCGAUCAGUAGCUGGUCUGAGAGGACGACCAGCCACACUGGAACUGAGACACGGUCCAGACUCCUACGGGAGGCAGCAGUGGGGAAUUUUGGACAAUGGGGGCAACCCUGAUCCAGCAAUGCCGCGUGAGUGAAGAAGGCCUUCGGGUUGUAAAGCUCUUUUGUCCGGGAAGAAACGGUACUCUCUAAUAUAGAGUGCUAAUGACGGUACCGGAAGAAUAAGCACCGGCUAACUACGUGCCAGCAGCCGCGGUAAUACGUAGGGUGCAAGCGUUAAUCGGAAUUACUGGGCGUAAAGCGUGCGCAGGCGGUUAUGUAAGUCAGCUGUGAAAUCCCCGGGCUUAACCUGGGAAUGGCAGUUGAGACUGCAUGGCUAGAGUGUGUCAGAGGGGGGUAGAAUUCCACGUGUAGCAGUGAAAUGCGUAGAGAUGUGGAGGAAUACCGAUGGCGAAGGCAGCCCCCUGGGAUAACACUGACGCUCAUGCACGAAAGCGUGGGGAGCAAACAGGAUUAGAUAC
rnacentral:rRNA from 1 species